AUUUAUAUUUGAAUUAUCAAAAUAUAUACCAAUUUAACUACACAUAUAAUUAGUAAUUUAAAAAAUUCAAUAAAUUAUGGAAUAAGAAAAUACAUAGCCAUGAAUCAAGUGAAAAUAUUCUAAACUCUUUUCAACACAUAAGACAAAAAACGCAUUUAAAUAAAUAUCAUAAACUUAAGGAGAUGAAAUAAAGAAGUAAAGCUCACAAUUUAGCAUUAGAAGAGAUUGAAAUUUCUCAAAGGCACAUUUCUUUUGAGUACCCUAUAAAUCAAAAGCAAACAAUUGAAGCAAAAACCCAAGUUAAUUGGAUAUAAGACACAAAACUUAUCAGAUCUUUAACAUCGCACUCACCACUUAUAAAAAAAUAAGGCAUAAUAUCUAUCAAUUGCCGGAAUAACUCGUAAAAUUGAAUUUAAAAACCCAAACUUAAGUUAGUGUAAGGAGAUCCAAAGGCCCUACAAUAUAGAGACAUGAGCUUACUUGGGAAGAGACAAACUAAUAAAUUAAUUUUUUUCUCCUUAAACGACUUCUUCUCUUUGUCUUUCUCACAGAUUUAAAUUAGCAUCCACUAGUGUGGAUGAAAGAUAUAAGAAAAUGGAAAGGAAGAGUAGCGGCUGGGGAAGAAUGAAAAGUUUAGGUUUUGU
rnacentral:lncRNA from 1 species